rnacentral:lncRNA from 1 species
CAUAAUUUACAAUCAGUGUAGCUGUAAAGUGCAUAUAGGGUUGGUAUAGUGCAUUUUCUGUCAUUUUUUAGAUCGUUUGUGCAUUGUUUAUAUAAAUCAUAUUAGCAUACCUCCCUAAAAUGAGUCGCUUUUCUCUUAAGAAAAUAAGAACCUAUUUAAGAACUUGUUUAGCCUAAUUUCCUGGUAAGCACCAUUUACAUGAGAGGCUUUAGGCUAACUUGGAAAAUCUAGGUUCUUAUAUGCG